UACGGGGGGAGCAAGCGUUGUUCGGAUUUACUGGGCGUAAAGGGCGCGUAGGCGGCCACCGCAAGUCAAUUGUGAAAUCUCCGGGCUUAACUCGGAACGGUCAAGUGAUACUGUCGGACUAGAGUACAGAAGGGGCAACUGGAAUUCUCGGUGUAGCGGUGAAAUGCGUAGAUAUCGAGAGGAACACCUGCGGCGAAGGCGGCUCUCUGGGACGGUACUGACGCUGAGACGCGAAAGCGUGGGGAGCGAACAGG
rnacentral:rRNA from 1 species